rnacentral:rRNA from 1 species
UACGGGGGGGGUAAGCGUUGUUCGGAAUUACUGGGCGUAAAGGGCUCGUAGGCGGCCAACUAAGUCAGACGUGAAAUCCCUCAGCUUAACUGGGGAACUGCGUCUGAUACUGGAUGGCUUGGAUUCGGGAGAGGAAUGCGGAAUUCCAGGUGUAGCGGUGAAAUGCGUAGAUAUCUGGGGGAACACCGGUGGCGAAGGCGGCAUUCUGGACCGAUAUUGACGCUGAGGAGCGAAAGCCAGGGGAGCAAACGGG